UGCUAGUCGCACGGGUUUAGGCCCGUGGCAUAUAGCUCAGUAACACGUGGCCAAACUACCCUGUGGACCAGAACAACCUCGGGAAACUGAGGCUAAUUCUGGAUACAGCUCUUUCCCUGGAGUGGGUUGAGCUGGAAAUGCUCCGGCGCCACAGGAUGUGGCUGCGGCCGAUUAGGUAGACGGUGGGGUAACGGCCCACCGUGCCAGUAAUCGGUACGGGUUGUGAGAGCAAGAGCCCGGAGACGGUAUCUGAGACAAGAUACCGGGCCCUACGGGGCGCAGCAGGCGCGAAACCUUUACACUGCACGACAGUGCGAUAAGGGGACCCCGAGUGCGAGGGCAUAUCGUCCUCGCUUUUCUGUACCGUAAGGUGGUACAGGAAUAAGAGCUGGGCAAGACCGGUGCCAGCCGCCGCGGUAAUACCGGCAGCUCGAGUGAUGGCCGUGUUUAUUGGGCCUAAAGCGUCCGUAGCCGGCCAGACAGGUCCGUCGGGAAAUCUGCGCGCUUAACGUGCAGGCGUCCGGCGGAAACCAGCUGGCUUGGGGCCGGAAGAUCCGAGGGGUACGUCCGGGGUAGGAGUGAAAUCCCGUAAUCCUGGACGGACCGCCGGUGGCGAAAGCGCCUCGGAAGGACGGACCCGACGGUGAGGGACGAAAGCUAGGGUCACGAACCGGAUUA
rnacentral:rRNA from 1 species